rnacentral:rRNA from 1 species
GAUGAACGCUGGCGGCGUGCCUAAUACAUGCGAGUCGAGCGAACAGACGAGGAGCUUGCUCCUCUGACGUUAGCGGCGGACGGGUGAGUAACACGUGGAUAACCUACCUAUAAGACUGGGAUAACUUCGGGAAACCGGAGCUAAUACCGGAUAAUAUAUUGAACCGCAUGGUUCAAUAGUGAAAGACGGUUUUGCUGUCACUUAUAGAUGGCUCCGCGCCGCAUUAGCUAGUUGGUAAGGUAACGGCUUACCAAGGCAACGAUGCGUAGCCGACCUGAGAGGGUGAUCCGCCACACUGGAACUGAGACACGGUCCAGACUCCUACGGGAGGCAGCAGUAGGGAAUCUUCCGCAAUGGGCGAAAGCCUGACGGAGCAACGCCGCGUGAGUGAUGAAGGUCUUCGGAUCGUAAAACUCUGUUAUUAGGGAAGAACAAAUGUGUAAGUAACUAUGCACGUCUUGACGGUACCUAAUCAGAAAGCCACGGCUAACUACGUG